CCUACGGGUGGCAGCAGUGAGGAAUAUUGGUCAAUGGGAGAGAUCCUGAACCAGCCAAGCCGCGUGAGGGAAGAAGGUCCCAUGGGUUGUAAACCUCUUUUGUCGGAGAACAAAACCCGGGACGUGUCCCGGACUGCGUGUAUCCGAAGAAAAAGCAUCGGCUAACUCCGUGCCAGCAGCCGCGGUAAUACGGAGGAUGCGAGCGUUAUCCGGAUUUAUUGGGUUUAAAGGGUGCGUAGGCGGUCCGUUAAGUCAGCGGUAAAAGUGCGGGGCUCAACCCCGUCGAGCCGUUGAAACUGGCUGACUUGAGUUGGCGAGAAGUACGCGGAAUGCGCAGUGUAGCGGUGAAAUGCAUAGAUAUCGCGCAGAACUCCGAUUGCGAAGGCAGCGUACCGGCGGCAGACUGACGCUGAGGCACGAAAGCGUGGGGAUCGAACAGGAUUAGAUACCCUUGUAGUC
rnacentral:rRNA from 1 species